UUCUUGGUUCCUUGUUUAGUUGAAUCAGGGCUUCUGAGAGAAAGAGUCGCCAUUUUUAUUUGUUUGGGGUUUUGAUGUAGCUUAUUAAUUAGCUUGAUUGCUACUUGUUAGGCAUUUUUCAGAAUUUGUGAUGGGUCUUAGUUGGUUCGGUUUGGCGGUUCGUGAGCUUGCUAUUAUUCUUGACGAAUUUCGAUGCUGAAAGACUUGGAAACCAUGCUGUCCACCACGUCGAGAAGUUGAGUAACAUUCUGUGUGUUCAAUGGCUCCCCUUAAUAAAAGGAACUGAAGCCAUCCAUCUAGGGCUUCCAUCCAAUCAUGCAGGCUGCAUGGAAGUCACAUUUACCUUUUGUGUGAACAUCAUGAACACAUACACCAUUUGAAGGUUCAUGUUUUCAUAGCAGUGGUGUUGCUGUCCAAUGUGGCGUGUUGUUGCAGCCUAUGGUGGUGAAAGAUAUCUGCAUCAAGUUGCUGUUUCUUGUGCAUCCAAGGUGCUGGUUUUGUGCUACAGAAGUUACAUCCAGUAUUGUGUUUUAUUGCUAAUUGUUUCUUUGCAGUUUACCUUUUAUAUAUUGAGAAGGAACAAAAAAAAAGUAAUACGGGGAGUUUUAUGUCAAACAAAUAAUAAACAUGUCCGCGAUUGGGGAAUGAGGAGGAAGUUGGGGUGGGAUAUUUGAUUAUCAUUUACUAAAAGAAGUUAGGUAUAUUUUAUUAUUUUUAAUGAAUAUGCAGGUGAUAAAAUCUGUUGUUAACCCAUAUAACCUUCUCCACUUACACAUCCAUUCCUCAAACCCCAUAAUUUCCAACAUCUAAUUGUCACAAUUGUUGUAUAAUCAUAUCAUAUAUAAAUAAAUAAAAUGUCAUUGUAUAUAAAA